UUUGCUCAUCUUAUUUUUCCAAGCCUGACUUUGCCAAGCAUGACGAACUAGUUUCUUGUGAGACUAGUAGUAGUUUUCAAGAUAUUUGUAUGAGUGUGGAACAUAUGGAUACUGGUCAGGUAAUUCACAAUAACAAAUUAGAACCGAAAACUGUUUGCUCAUCUCCUUGUGCCAAGUUCUGUGACCUUAUGCUCAUUGACAUUGAUAAUGCAUUGCUUCCUCCGAUAUCUAGUGAAUCUGCUGAAAAUAUUUCAGCUGAACUUGAACCUGAUUUAGAGUCUGCACUCCAGUUAUACACUAUUGAACAAUCUGUAUUUGUUGGUGUGAAUGGUUUACUGAUCCCGACAGAGCAUGACUUGAUUAUUAUGGACUAUUUUGAACAGGGAAUGGGUUUUCACAUAUGCUUGGCUGAUUAGUCUUCGCAGGUUCUUAUUUGCAGCUAACCUGAUAUGUUGGGUUGAUUCACAACUUUUCAGACUUUAUUUAUAUGCUGGGCAGGUUGCUUUUGUAUAUCACCUUCACUUGGUUUGAGAUUACUUGCUACACUCAAGCAGGGAACAAAUAUCAUUCGCUUCGUGGGAGUCAACCCAUCAGAUUUGUUCCCUUUACUCUAUAUUUUAUUCUUUUAUUUGUCUAAUGCAUAUUAGGAAUUUUCCACCUUGAAUUUUACUUUGAAUGACUCAACUUACAUUAAGGACAGUAUAAGAUUCAAGUGUGGGGGAGUGGUUAAGCACAGAUUUGUAGUAGGCAUUCACUUUCUUUAUGAAUUUUCUAUAAAUAAAAAAAAAACAACAAAAACUUUUCUUUAUUUUUUAUGGUAUGACCAGCUGUUGAGCGGUCUUUCUGAUUUUCGGUCUAGAUGUUUAGCAGACUUCUCUUCUCUUUACCAUUGUUUAGUGGUUUCGUCUCGCUGUUUAGCGGACAUCUCGAUGUCACUGUUUAGUGGAUCCGACUAGCUGUUUAGCAGACGUCUCUCCAUAUCCAGCUGUGUAGCGGACAUAAUUUUCUCUUGUUUUGCUCGGGACUAGCAAAAUGAGAUACAAGAAAUUCCGUUCCCCCGGAAAAUAAAUUGCGUAGGAGCUAAUUUGGCACUUGCGAUUUGCGUUGCCAAAGGAGUAAGAACUUAUGGGCUGCACCGCGCUGCCAUUUCAUGGCCAGAUAUAUCAAUUCACAAAACAAAGAAUUGUCUAUGUUCCGUCAAGCAUGUGAGCCGCACGAGUGGGUCUAAGAAGAACAGAAGACGUGGCUGCUUAUGCACCACAUUUUCUUAACAUCAUCUUCUCGUCUUUGUCAAAGAAAUGAAACAUUCAUUUCUCACUCGAGAAGCAGAGCAGCAGCAAAACAGAUCUGUGAGGUUCUAAAAUGAAAAUGGAAAUGGGUUUUGACCUAAUUUUGGUGGAACUAAUUAAUUGCAGGAAGGGGAUCGAGUACAACCAACAAUCUUCCAUGAAGUGAUGUAUGUUGUUGGUGCUAUAAGUACUGAUUAGAAGUGAAGACAAAUCUGAAUUUUUGGGGUUUUCUUAUUUGAGGUUGGGCUUAAUUGGUAGUUGUUCUUGCGAACUAAAAUUGAAUCCAAACAGAAGAUUAACUUGGUGCUACCAAUCAGUUAAUGGAAGAAGUAAACGGAACUAGAGAUAAGUUCCAUGGGUUUUGUUCGUGAUGGAUGUAUGUGGUUUUGCAGACGUGAUUGAAGAUGACAGCAAGACAAAGUAAGGGAUUUUGGAAUCUGGCAUCGACUGAAAUUGAGUUACUGGAUGUGCGAAAUUGGGAAGAGUGAAGUGUUUUAAUGGCUGAUUCAAUUGAUUGCAGUUGGUAGUGGUGAUGGAUUUCCUCUACCAGUAUGAAGAGAAGGAACUGAUGAUAUUCGGUGAUUCAAAUUAGUGUUGAUGCCAUCGAUUCUUGGUUCUGUACGAGAAGAUCAAGCAACGGAUUUUGGGGGUUUUGGCAUCAAUUGAAACUGAGUCUUGUUAUGGGUGAAAUUGGUGUUUGUUGGUCUGAGUACACAGUGGUGAUGAGAAGUUCAGAGUACAGGAAAAUUGAGUCAUGCUUUGGCUGAUUCGAAGUAGCUGCAAUUCUCAAAAUGGUGGUUGUAUGGGAAGCUUGGAUUGGAUUAAAUGGGUGUCCUGAGGUUAAAUGAAAUUGAGAUUUGUUCUUGAGCUGAAACACGAUGGACAUUUACUGGUGGCUGUUACAGUUUUGGGAAGACAGUUCACGAUGGCAAUAAAGACGAGAUCGAUUAUUUUGGAGGUUCAUUUCAGUGAAGUAUAUUGACUGCAGUCGACGAGAGCAUCAAGUACUAACCAGUGUUAGUGGAGUUGGUGCUAUAGACAUGGGUCUGGUGCUUGAGAAAAUG